CAUCGCUUGACGGAGCGCGAGUAAUCACUCGCUGAGAUCACCUAAAUGCUGAACAUUUAAAGGUGAGUACCGUUGAACCUGAUCAGGUUAAUACCUGCGUAGGAAUCAAGCCAGCUAAAAUU
rnacentral:ncRNA from 2 species